rnacentral:rRNA from 1 species
GACGAACGCUGGAGGCGUGCUUAACACAUGCAAGUCGAACGAUGAAAUGGAGCUUGCUCCAUGGAUUAGUGGCGAACGGGUGAGUAACACGUGAAUAACCUGCCCUUAAUUUUGGAAUAACCCAGGGAAACCUGGGCUAAUACCGGAUAAGUAAACCUGUGGCAUCACAUGGUUUUGGAAAGUUUUUCGAUUAAGGAUGGAUUCGCGGCCUAUCAGCUUGUUGGUGAGGUAAUGGCUCACCAAGGCGACGACGGGUAGCCGGCCUGAGAGGGUGAACGGCCACACUGGGACUGAGACACGGCCCAGACUCCUACGGGAGGCAGCAGUGGGGAAUAUUGCGCAAUGGACGAAAGUCUGACGCAGCGACGCCUCGUGAGGGACGAAGGUCUUCGGAUUGUAGACCUCUUUCAGCAGGGACGAAGCGAAAGUGACGGUACCUGCAGAAGAAGCCCCGGCUAACUUCGUGCCAGCAGCCGCGGUAA